rnacentral:lncRNA from 1 species
GGCAACGGGUUACCAGAAUCUACCAGGCGCGUAGCCUGAUCCCUGAAACUGGUUUCCACUUUGUGGUCAGAUGACUUCAUGAAAGAAUUCUUAAAACAAGAUGUUACUAGUGCGCGUUUUACGAGUUUUUAAUGAGCGGAAGGAUAUGAUAGGACUGGCUUAUUGCCUCUCGGCUGAUAACUCCAGCAGACCUUCUGUGGCGAAAAGUACAAUCCCAAGUCGAAAAACCUUAUGAAAUUGCCUACGGGACUUCAUGCGUCAGCGACAAAGGGGACAACACUUCCGUGAACUUGGUUAGGGUUUUUUGAAACCAGUGAGCCAAAAUUAGCUGAUUCGUUAUUAAAAAUAAUUAAAAAGUUGUCGACAAGUCUGAACACUUUCACUACAUUGGUGUUAUUCACCAGGCGUUCAUCAAGAACCUCGUCAUGGUUAGCUAGAUACAAGUCACUUAAGUAGGGGGCAAUACACGACCCAAUGCGGUGCCGUAGCACUUUC